rnacentral:lncRNA from 1 species
AAGCGCCCGGCCCUCUCCUCGGCGUGUCUUCAGUGGAAGGAGAAGAGGAUACACGAUAACUCACUCGACAAGGACCUGAGCCCUAGGACCAUGCCUCAGGACUACCUGGUAUGAUGACUCCUUACUGUCCCCAGUCCACCUGGCCGUGCUGCUGCUCCAGUUUCAACUGUUCUGCCUGCGGCUAUGGAACCCUGACCUGUUCACCAGACGUGCUUGUUGCACCCUCGACAACUACUAUGAUUAUUAUUAUUUGACCAUGCUGGUCAUUUAUGAACAUUUUAACAUCUUGACCAUGUUCAGUUAUAAUAUCCACCCUGCACAGCCAGAAGAGGACUGGCCACCCCUCAUAGCCUGGUUCCUCUCUAGGUUUCUUCCUAGGUUUUUGGCCUUUCUAGGGAGUUUUUUCUAGGGAGUUUUUCCUAGCCACCGUGCUUCUUUCACAUGCAUUGCUUGCUGUUUGGGGUUUUAGGCUGGGUUUCUGUACAGCACUUUGAGAUAUCAGCUGAUGUACGAAGGGC